rnacentral:rRNA from 1 species
GGCGAACGCUGGCGGCGUGCUUAACACAUGCAAGUCGAACGGAAAGGCCCUGCUUUUGUGGGGUGCUCGAGUGGCGAACGGGUGAGUAACACGUGAGUAACCUGCCCUUGACUUUGGGAUAACUUCAGGAAACUGGGGCUAAUACCGGAUAGGAGCUCCUGCUGCAUGGUGGGUGUUGGAAAGUUUCGGCGGUUGGGGAUGGACUCGCGGCUUAUCAGCUUGUUGGUGGGGUAGUGGCUUACCAAGGCUUUGACGGGUAGCCGGCCUGAGAGGGUGACCGGCCACAUUGGGACUGAGAUACGGCCCAGACUCCUACGGGAGGCAGCAGUGGGGAAUAUUGCACAAUGGGCGGAAGCCUGAUGCAGCAACGCCGCGUGCGGGAUGACGGCCUUCGGGUUGUAAACCGCUUUCGCCUGUGACGAAGCGUGAGUGACGGUAAUGGGUAAAGAAGCACCGGCUAACUACGUG